UUUUUUUUUUUUUUUUUUUUUUUUUUGUCUUUUUGCCUGUUCUAGGGCCGCAUAUGGAGGUUCCCAAGCUAGGGAUCUAAUUGGAGCUGUAGCCACCAGCCUAUAUACCACAGCCACAGGAAUGCAGGAUCUGAGCCGUGUCUGCGAACUACACCACAGCUCACGGCAAUGCCAGAUCCUUAACCCACUGAGCAAGGCCAGGGAUCGAACCCUCAACCUCAUGGUUCCUAGUCGGAUUCAUUAACCACUGAGCCACGAUGGGAACUCCUCAUUAGUUCUUUUUAUUCAUUUUGUUUUCAUAAAGUCAGUUCUUCUAUAUCUUUUUUUUUUAUUUUUAAGCUAUGUAUCAAGAUAGUAUGAGGAUAAGUGAUCAUUUUAACAUAAGAUGUUCAUUAAAAGUAAGACCACUUCUAUUCAAUAGAGCAAUGGCAAAUGUAUGGAUAGAGGAUACAAAUAAUUUCACAGUAUUUAAUUAUCUGCAGAAGAGGAAUGAAACAUUCCAGUGUUUAAUUUUCUGAGGUUAUGAAUCAUAGCGUAUAUUUCAUAGAAGUGUAAAAUCUUAUGUUAUUGAUACUCUGAGUUGUCUUAAAGAUUCUCUGUGUGUUGUUUUUUACCUUUGCUUAUCUGUGUUCUUCUCUCCUGUCUAUUGCUUCUCUAUCCACUGCCUCUUCUACGCUUUCUUCACAGAACCAUUCCAGCCAUGGCCCACCAGACCUCUGAUUCUCCUUGUCUCAGCUUACUACUUGAUCUACCCCAUAAGCAUUCAGAUCUCUUUGCCUCCUGAAGAUUCUCCCAAAGCAAAGAUUAUCUGCUUGUGACAUACAUUCUCGGAUCCCUGUAUCUCUCUGUGUAUAAUUAUGUCUGACAGGAAAAUCAUUGACCCUUUCAAGGAGCUGAUCUGUCCAGUGUAACAACAGUGCCAUAACAUAUCCCAUAUUUUUUACAGAGAUAAAUGUCCCUGUAAAAAGUGGAAUGUGAACUUGUCUAAAGGAAAACUGUGAUGGAGUUGUGGGGAGAGUAAUGCCUCCUAAAGAAAUAAUUGUUGAAGUUUUUAAUGUCCUUUAAGGGAAAGAGAUGCAAUUCUCUUAAAAGGAAUAAUCUCAUGUUUCUAUUCUGUCAGAAUGUGUUUACAUCCUCACUUUCCAUGGCUACUAUCAUAACUUAAACCUGAUUAAAGUCCUACUAAGAUUUUUUUCAAUGACUAGAUUUGAAAUUAGACCCCAUGUUUCAUCCAAAGUUAAAAUAAGUCACCCAAGAUGGAAUCCAUCAAAUGUUAAGCAACACAUCAUAGGUUUCAUUUUUGUUUUGUGUGUGUGUGUGUGUGUUUUCUUACAUUUUAACUGUAAUACAAACAUGCUUCCCAUAGUGUAUUAUAUUCAGAUUGCUGGGCUGAAUUUUAUCAUUUUUAAGGUAUUUAUGUAUAGUCCAGGCUUAGUAUUAAUUUGUGACAUUAUUACCAUGGAAUUUACAUUUUUACUCUUUUCUGGUAGGAGGUGAUAAGACAUCAAAAGGUUACACAGUAUCUAUAUAGAGAGGUACUAGAUAUAAUUUUGUCUUUUGAGGAAUAUCUAUGUCACAUAGGAAUUAAGAGUGAUGGUAGCAGCACCUAACAUAAUGCUUGCUUUAUUUUACAUAUGCUGACUAAUUUUACCCUUACCAUAGAACUUUGUUAGUGAGCUGCUUUUAUUAGCUUCAUUUUUUGUGAGGUAACUGAGGUACAGAGAAGUUAAGUGCCUUUUCCAAUGUUCCAGGUAGGAAAUGAGGGAGCCAGGGUGAAUGAAUAUUUCUAUAAUGAAUGUUUUCCAGGAUCCAAAACAAAAUAAUGUGAUUCUAAUAUGUGGAUUAUUCUCUUUUUUUUUUUUUUGGACUUUUUGCUAGAAGAUAUGAUAAAUAGCACAGAAAGACUAAAUAAGGUAUGAGCCUAUGUUAAACCAAUUUAACAACAACGAAAGAGGUAUUUAGAAACUAGAAUGAAUUUAUAAAGUGGUACCUGACAAAAAUCAUGUUGAUAAGACCUACUUGACAAUUAGAACUAUAAAUAACCCUUGAUUAGAUUAGUUUAUAUGUAUUUUCUUGUGCAUGCAAACAAAGAAUGGUGCUCUCUAGAGUUCUGAGUACAUUUAAGUAUAUAAUUUUAACCAUGGCAUUAAUGAGUAACUCAGGCAUGAAUUAAUCCUGCUUAAAUGAUGUACCUCAAAUUUAUAAUUUACAUAACUGGUACAAUGAAAUGUUUAUUACCAACCUAUGAUACAUAAAAGCAACCUGUAUUUUUGAAAAAAACACCAUCUUAUUUCAUCCUUGCCCAGAUUAUUUCUCUUCAUAUUAUUGUCAAAGACACUGAUGACCUUAUAACUGGUUAUUUUAUUUUAUUUUAUUUUAUUUUUUGUCUUUUGUUGUUGUUGUUGUUGCUAUUUCUUGGGCUGCUCCCGCGGCAUAUGGAGGUUCCCAGGCUAGGGGUUGAAUCGGAGCUGUAGCCACCGGCCUAUGCCAGAGCCACAGCAACGCGGGAUCCGAGCCGCGUCUGCAACCUACACCACAGCUCACGGCAACGCCGGAUCCUUAACCCACUGAGCAAGUGCAGGGACCGAACCCGCAACCUCAUGGUUCCUAGUCGGAUUCGUUAACCACUGCGCCACGACGGGAACUCCAUAACUGGUUAUUUUAAUCUCACAUUCAGUUUAUGAAACUCAGAGGCAAAUUGUAAUCCUCAGCUGACUAAGACUACCUGAUAGCUUACACAGUUUAUGUUUUUGUAUAAUUCAUGAUUAUUGAAGUAUUAUUUAUAUAUAGUCAAAUGGAUACUUUUUAGCUAUCUAUUUCUAUUAUUUUUGAUGAAUGUAUAAAGUUGUGCAAAAACUACUUCAAUAUCAAAAUAUUUUCAUCUUGCAAUUCUCUGGUGUCUCAUCAGGUUAAGGAUCCGGUGUUGUCACUACUGUAGCUCAGGUUGCUGAUGAGGCACAGGUUGAUCCCUGGCCAGGAACUUCCAUGUGCGGUGGGCAUG
rnacentral:lncRNA from 1 species